rnacentral:rRNA from 1 species
AACGAACGCUGGCGGCAUGCCUAACACAUGCAAGUCGAACGAGACCUUCGGGUCUAGUGGCGCACGGGUUCGUAACGCGUGGGAACCUGCCCUUAGGUUCGGAAUAACUCCCCGAAAGGGGUGCUAAUACCGGAUAAUGUCUUCGGACCAAAGAUUUAUCGCCUUUGGAUGGGCCCGCGUUGGAUUAGCUAGUUGGUAGGGUAAAAGCCUACCAAGGCGACGAUCCAUAGCUGGUCUGAGAGGAUGAUCAGCCACACUGGGACUGAGACACGGCCCAGACUCCUACGGGAGGCAGCAGUGGGGAAUAUUGGAAAAUGGGCGAAAGCCUGAUCCAGCAAUGCCGCGUGAGUGAUGAAGGCAUUAGGGUUGUAAAGCUCUUUUAACCGGGAUGAUAAUGACAGUACCGGGAGAAUAAGCUACGGCUAACUCCGUG